rnacentral:rRNA from 1 species
UACAGGGGGUGCAAACGUUGCUCGGAAUCAUUGGGCGUAAAGCGCACGUAGGCGGUCUGUUAUGUCGGAUGUGAAAGCCCUCGGCUCAACUGAGGAAGUGCAUCCGAAACUGGCAGGCUAGAGUACUAAAGAGGGUCGCGGAAUUCCCGGUGUAGAGGUGAAAUUCGUAGAUAUCGGGAGGAACACCGGUGGCGAAGGCGGCGACCUGGGUAGAUACUGACGCUGAGGUGCGAAAGCGUGGGAGCAACAGG